rnacentral:rRNA from 1 species
CGGCGUGCUUAACACAUGCAAGUCACGGGGGUUGGGGCAACCCAGCAACCGGCGAACGGGUGCGUAACACGUAAGCGACCUGCCCUGGAGCGGGGGAUAGCCGGCCCAACGGCCGGGUAAUACCGCAUACGACGGUUUGGGGGCAUCCCUGGACCGUGAAACCUGCGGGGCUCUGGGAGGGGCUUGCGGCCUAUCAGCUAGUUGGCGGGGUAACGGCCCACCAAGGCGGUGACGGGUAGCUGGUCUGAGAGGAUGGCCAGCCACAUUGGGACUGAG